rnacentral:rRNA from 1 species
UACGUAGGGGGCUAGCGUUGCUCGGACUCACUGGGCGUAAAGCGCCCGUAGGCGGAUUGCUAAGUCAGGGGUGAAAUCCUGGAGCUCAACUCCAGAACUGCCUUUGAUACUGGCGACCUUGAGUCCGGGAGAGGUGAGUGGAACUGCGAGUGUAGAGGUGAAAUUCGUAGAUAUUCGCAAGAACACCAGUGGCGAAGGCGGCUCACUGGACUGGUAUUGACGCUGAGGUGCGAAGGCGUGGGGAGCAAACAGG